AGGAACUAGCAAGAGAGAACCAAAUCUCAAGAAAUAACUGUGAUCUUUAAUACAUAAAGAAAUAAGAACAAUGCAAGCCCCAAAAACCGACUCAAAUCUAGAUGAUAUCCCUCGGACUAAGUACAAACUGAAAUGAACUUCCCUAAUAUA